AGUUCACUGCCUGGACAGUUCUCUCUCAGAGAUGCUUCUGAAACGGGGGGAACAUUUGCAAAAUCACUACACGAUCACGCAGCACUGCAAACAUGCUGAAGUUUCAUCUGCCUGGGCAUACAGGCCUGCUCUGAUUGUUUAUGAACGUCUGCGUGAGUCUUGUGAGGAAGAUGGCAGGGCAGUGUGAUCUUCCUUCUGGUCAACAUGGAACAUGUUACUUGGAUCUUCAAGAAGCAAAAGAAAUUUACUUUAAGCAGAAAGAAAGCAACUUUACAGGUGAGGCUCUAAUCACAUGCAUGCAGACACCUGAGGAGGAUCAAAGCCACCUGGCUCUUCACCAGCUCAGAUCGAGCACUCCCACUGAGUAAACAGCCAAUGCUUACCUGAGGGAAAUCUGCACUGCUCAAGAACUCGAGUUCAGGCAAAGAUCCCAAAUGAAAGCACAGGGCUGUCCUACCAGUGUGGCUGCUUGGGACCACCGGUAGUUCCAAAACGCACUUCGUCAUAUUCUUUACUUCAUAACUUUCAUAUUUUAUAAGCUUCAUUCAAAAGGUGGGUGUCAUAUGAGAACCGUAACUGUCUUCUUUAAAGUCAAAUAGAUGGGUGAUGUAAUUUUAAAACUUUAUAAUAAAA